UCAGAUCGGGCGAGGGGAGCUGAGCCCCGGGAACGCGCUGGCUGCGGGCCUCAGGGUUCAAGCGCUCGCCCCGCGGCUCAGUGAAGCUUUCGUUCAGCUGCAAGUAACGUGGCAGUGGUGGCCAGGGUCUUCACUCUGCUUAAGUCCUCCAGGCGCCUUCUAAGAAGCAGUUAAAGAAGGCUGCACAGUACCUGGAAACCUUCCAGUUUCACUUGUAGAAUUCAGCCUCACUCAUAGUUCCCUUGGUACCUGUUGGCCGUCUGUAUGCCUUAUUUUUUGAAAAAUGUCUCUUCAGAUCUUCUGCCCAUUUAAAAAACCAGGUUGUGCCUUUCUGCCUGUGGACACUGCCAGGUAAGCAUUGUUAAAGUCUCCCCUCCCACCUCCAUCAUGUCUCAGUCAGAGUCUCCCACAGACCCUGAACAGCUGCGGAAGCUCUUCAUCGAGGUUUGAGCUCGGCAACAACGUUGAGUCUGAGGAGCCAUUAUGAGCAAUGGGAACACUUAUGGACUGUGUGGUAAUGACAGAUCCAAAGACCAAGCACUCCAGAGGCUUUGGGUUUGUCACGUAUGCCACUGUGGAGACGGUGGAUGCAGCCAUGAAGGCAGGGCCACACAAGGUGGAUGGAAGAGUUGUGGAGCCAAAGAGGGCUCUCUCAAGAGAAGAUUCUCAAAGACCUGGUGCCCACUUCACUCUGAAAAAGAUUUUUGUCAGCAUUAAAGAAGACACUGAAGAACAUCAUCUAAGAAAUUAUUCUGAACAGUAUGGAAAAACUGACGUGACUGACAUCAUGACUGACUGAGGCAGUGGCAAUAAGAGAGGCUUUGCUUUUAUAACAUUUGAUGACCAUGACUCUGUACCCAAGACUGUCAUUCAGAAAUACCACACUGUGGGGACGCCUGGGUGGCU